AAAGGUUCACAGGGUCUUUUCGUCCCUUGUCGGGUAAGUUCCGACCUGCACGAAUGGUGUAACGAUCUGGGCACUGUCUCAACCAUGAGCUCGGUGAAAUUGUAGUAUCGGUGAAGAUGCCGAUUACCCGCAAUGGGACGAAAAGACCCUGUGAACCUUUACUAUAGCUUCGUAUUGACUUCGGGUAAAUGAUGUGUAGGAUAGGUGGGAAACUAUGAAGCGGCUUCGCUAGGAGUCGUGGAGUUAACGUUGAAAUACCACCCUUUAUUUAUCUGGAGCCUAACUUCUGUAAGAAGGACAUUGCGUGGCGGGUAGUUUGACUGGGGUGGUCGCCUCCAAAAGAGUAACGGAGGCUUUCAAAGGUACCCUCAGCACGCUUGGCAACCGUGCGUAGAGUGUAAUGGCAUAAGGGUGCUUGACUGUGAGGCCAACAAGCCGAACAGGUGCGAAAGCAGGACAUAGUGAUCCGGUGGUUCCGCAUGGAAGGGCCAUCGCUCAUAGGAUAAAAGGUACUCCGGGGAUAACAGGCUAGUCUCCCCCAAGAGCUCACAUCGACGGGGAGGUUCGGCACCUCGAUGUCGGCUCGUCACAUCCUGGGGCUGGAGAAGGUCCCAAGGGUUGGGCUGUUCGCCCAUUAA
rnacentral:rRNA from 1 species